rnacentral:rRNA from 1 species
UGGUAGGGACGAAAAAUAACAAUGCGGGACUCUUGCGAGUCUGCGUAAUUGGAAUGAGCACACUUUAAAUCCUUUAGCAACAAUCAAUUGGAGGGCAAGUCUGGUGCCAGCAGCCGCGGUAAUUCCAGCUCCAAUAGCGUAUAUUAAAGUUGUUGCGGUUAAAAAGCUCGUAGUUCGAGUUGAGUUUGGGAGUGGGGUGGGAGGUCACCGCCCGGUGCUUCCCCCCUAGGUCCUGGACAGCUUCCGUGAGUGGAAGCCAAGCCAGUUGUUGCGGGGUGCUCUUUACCGAGUGUGCCGUGCGGCCGGUGAGUUCACCUUGAAUAAAUGAGAGUGCUCAAAGCAGGCUACUCUUGAAUACAAUGCCGGAAUGUUAGCUGCAUGGAAUGAUGGAAGAUGAUCUGGGUUCCAUUUUGUUGGUGGUGGGAGCCCCAGUUAAUGAUAAAGAGGGACUGUCGGGGGCAUCCGUACUACGACGCGAGAGGUGAAAUUCAGUGACCGUCGUAGGACGAACAACAGCGAAAGCAUUUGCCAAGAAUGUCUUCGUUGAUCAAGAACGAAAGUUAGAGGAUCGAAGGCGAUCAGAUACCGCCCUAGUUCUAACCCUAAACGAUGCUGACUAGCAAUUCGCCGUCGUUAUUCCCAUGACGUGGCGAGACGCCCCCGGGAAACCUCAAGUUUUUGAGUUCCGGGGGUAGUAUGGUUGCAAAAGUGAAACUUAAAGGAAUUGACGGAAGGGCACCACCAGGAGUGGAGCCUGCGGCUUAAUUUGACUCAACACGGGGAAGCUGACCAGGCCCGGACACCAGAAGGAUUGACAGAUUAAGAGCUCUUUCUGGAUUUGGUGGGUGGUGGUGCAUGGCCGUUCUU